AUUUUUUCUUUAUAACUUUAAAUGCUAGAUCUCAAACUAACCAGCCGAGAAUUACUCUUUUAAACACCCCAUCGAUCCCUUUUAAAAAUCUCAUAACCUUUGCUUGUGAAUCUGAGUUUCUUUCCAAGCUUGUGCCACCCAAUGGAAGUCCAUCGCUGUCGCCAAAUUCCGUUGUUCGAUUCCUCCGAUCCGCAACCUGUUGUAUUCCGACGACUUCGACAACGGUCACCAACGGACGACCGCCACUUCCUGUUAUAAUCGCCGCCACCAUUGGUCCGGGAUCCUACCAGUUCACAGCCACGCUACGUGUACCGGCAGCCGUAAAUCAUAAACUAUCCCUUUCGCUCGCUUUAGUUCAGUUCCGUGUGACCAUCCGAAGUGCUAACGGUGCGUCUCCGGCUAACUCCGUUUGAUUGAUAAGGUUUUUGAUUUUUCGGGUCGACUUGAUUAUUUGGUUUUGCUUUGCUUGCUAAUAAGGUACGGAUUCUGUUUUCUUUUCAUCAUAGUAUUAUUAUUCACGUCCGUUACUUUGUA